UACAACUUUUACAGACACGUCUGCGACGAUUUAGUUGAUAUAUUAUUAUAAAUACUACCUUUUCCACAUCGAAAUGAUGAUAAGUUGCGUUGUACCGGGAUGUUCAACCAAAACCGGGAAAAGGACAAGCAGUAAGUUUUCAUCGUUUGCUACGUUGUUAACAAUGGCUGCGGGCUAUCAACCACGCAAAAUGUCGAGAAGACAACGAUGCGGUAAAAUAAGAAAAACAGAGGGUUUGCAGUCUCCAUUUCAAGCAUGAAGACAUCGAACCCAAUGUACUCGGAAUGAAGCAAAACACGCGAAAGGACACUGCAAUUCCGUUCAUGUUUACCUUCACAGACACGAGGAACAGCCGGAGCCAUCUGGUAUCAAACGCAUUCGUCUACGUUUGAGGUUUCCGGAAGAAGAUGCAGAAGAAGGGGGAAAAAGAACAAUGAUAUCCUCCUUGCAUGGACCAGGUCUGUCCUAAAUCAUAUGUGGUUUUCCUGUGCAACCAGUAAGGGGGACGUUGAGGUA